UAUGUGUGUGUGUGUGUGUGUGUGUGUGUGUGUGUGUGUGUGUGUGUGUGUGUGUGUGUGUGUGCUGCAAUUGGUCUAUUGAGAGAGAAAUCAAAUAAACUUUCCAAAGCACGCUGAUGCUCAGGGCGAUUCUAGACACAGCUAUUCAUGGAGCUCAGACAAGAAAGGUUGAGGUUUGCAAAUGCUGACUCUGCACUGAAGACGCUGGGAAUUCUCAGUCUGGCUCGUGUGGAGGCUGCUCUUCAAAGGGACUUGGAACAGCUUUCCUUGGAAUCCUUGCUAACAGAGGUGGUCUGGGAAAGCUGGCUGAGGGGACUGCCAUCCACAAAUCAUCCUUCCUCCAGGUCAGAGGUCUGGCUCCUCUGCUGCCUGUGGGGAGGUGAGGUGCUAGAUAAAUCAAAGUCACUCAAGUUGGAAGGGCUACGGAAAUAGUCACAGAGGCAGCCCCUCAAAUCUGAUCUCCGAAGACAUCUUGGAAUUCUUUUUAAAAAAAUCUAGGGCCUUUUCCCUCCUGGACAAUUAGCAGUUAAAUAUUUACCAGCCGCCACUGUGUGUAAACAAGAUCCAAGAGGAAGCAGUUUUAUUUUGCAAGACUCAAUGUAGAGUUCAGAUAAAGCUGGGCAGAUAGAAUCACAGAUAAGAUUGUGUUGUGGCCACCCUUCAACCCCCAACGGGGUUUCUCUGUAUUUCCCUGGAUGACCUGGAACUCAAUUUGUAGACCAGGCUGGCUUUGGACUCAAAGAUUCGCCUGCCUCAGCCUCCAGAGUGCUGGGAUUAAAGGCAUGCACCACCACAACCCGGCCUUUCCCUAAUGGAAGGUUCUAGAAGGCCUGAUUAUCAUGACUUCAUGAGGAAUGACCCACACACCCCGGAACAGCAACACGAUAGGCUUUUCUUCUUCUUCUUUUUUUUUUUUUUUUUAAUUUUUCAUCCCUAAAUGGAGAUAUUGGUUACAAAGCUUCUGGGUAUUGAAUCUAGGUACCUAAUGGGUAUCAGGAGUCUACAAAAGUGAAUUUUCUGAUAUGAAAAUUCAGGGAUUUAUUUAUUUAUUUAUUUAUUUACUUACUUACUUACUUACUUACUUACUUAUUAACCAGUAGCCUUUGAUCCUCGUUGAUAGUUGAAGGUAAGCCAGAAGAUUCUAGAAAGGGUGAGGCCAAAGCUUGGUGAUUGUAUUAAUUACUUGUGACCAGAAUUGCUGAUGAAAAAACUUGAGGGAGUAAAACUUGAGGUUUAGUGUAACGCGGGGUCUAAGAGCGAUUUUGGUCUGUGGUGUCAGGGAAGGCAGUAGGGAACACUUCUCUUAGUGGUGCUGGGAGCACAUGGUGGCUGUUUGCCCACCACAGUGAUCAGCAGGAAGCAAAGAAUGCAGGGGGGAGCCAACUGUAACGUUGAAUGUCAUCUCUGACUCUGUGUCUGGUGUGUUCUCCAGCAGGUCCCACUUUAUAAAGGCCCUAAAAUAGAUUUAAAUCUUAACAAUGACUUGUGUGUGUGUGUGUGUGUGUGUGUUGUGUCUAGAAGUGUUUUGCAAACUCCGUGUAUGUAUGUGCACGGCAGAACUGCAGUUCACAGAAGGGGACAUUAGAUUCCCCUGAAACUGGAAUUGCAAGGGUAGUGGAACUGAACCCUGGUUCUCCACAAUAGUACUGGAUAGCAUUCCUUCUAGGCUCCGCCUUGCAGUUACCUAGCAACAGCCAGGUAGGUUGAGCUUGCUAUAAAAAGGACCCUUUGGUCUCUCUUCAUUCUCUCUGACCCUUUCCUCUCUCAGACUUUCUUCUCUGACCACUUUUUCCCUCUCUUCCCUUCCCCCCACCCCACGCUCUCCCUAUGUUCCCGAAAGCAGCUUCUUCUCUUCCUCUUCCUCUUCCUCUUCCUCUUUCUCUCUUUCUCUCCUCACCUUCCCUUCUACCUCCCCCUCUCCCCCUCCUCUCUCUCUCUCUCUCUCUCUCUCUUUCUCUCUCUCUCUCUCUCUCUCUGCCUCUACUUCCCUCUCAAUCCCAAUUCCCAUGUUCCCACAUAAACUCUAUUCUAUACUAGACCCGUCGUAUGGAUGGUACCUUGGGGGAAGGGAUGUCUCAGCGAUGGGCCCACCGAGGCACCCCUCCCAUGGGACCAUACCGAGCUUUACAAAACAUACCCUUGGCUUUACAAAAUGUAUCAGUACCCACCCUACACUCUUGAGCCAUAUCUUCAGAAUUCUAAAGCAGAAUUCUUGCCUUUCCUUUCUCAACGUUAUAACCACCUUUUCCUGCUGAAACCCACGAACGCACAGACACGCUUCUGAGAAUUGUGGGUUUCAUCUGCCGCGAAGGUCCGCGCAAACAGCUGAGCUGCCUUUCCAGCCCAAAGGUUCUGGCCUGGCUUCCCAAAGCCUCUAGCUAGAUCUGGCAUGUGGGACCCGAGUGAAAAUAGGUGCAGUAAAGAAACCAAAAUAGUCAUUCAGUGGGUGAAAAUUGGGAGAAGUUUAUUCCAAACUGCAGAGGCCACCUCCUGGGAAAGCAAGGAGAAGCAACAGGGGAAAGAAGACUGGCAGGGUUAGAUGGGACCGGGAGGAAGGGGUUUGUGAGCUGGGCUGGGGAUCCUCAGAGACUAGUAGCAUUCAUCAAUAAGAACCAUAGUCAUGUGUUAAUGAAGGGCCACAGAUUCCUAUUGCCAGAGAUAAGGAGAGUGAUUCCCCUUCUAGCAAGUAGGAACUUUCUGCAAGCCCCUAAAGGAAUGGGGGCUUUUGUUUAAAUGGGAAGAGGUCUUCCUUGGGGGAACCUGUGGUACCUAUUUUGUUGGGUGCAGAGACAUAGCAUGGGACACAAGAAAAAAGCACAAAAUUGGAAAUGCUGAAACCUUUUGAGCUUGUAUGAGAGAGGCCACAAGCGGAAAGUUCCAAGCCUGAUGACACGGGGACAGGGCACAGUCAAUACUCAGGCAUGCUGAACAUACCGUGUAAACUUAUUUCAGGCUAUGCAUAGGAAACAAACAGAUGUGGUAUUUGGACUUGGGUGCUCUUUGCAGGAUGAGCUCAUUAUGUACAAGGAAACGGUCUCAAACUGGGGAGAUUCUUAAACUCCAAACAGUCUCGUCCCACGCAUUAGAUGGGAGAUGCCCUCUGCCAGAAUCCACCAAAAUGAGCACCAAAGAGCCUUCUGUCUAUUCUUUUCCCCCCUCAAGGUGCUGGGGAUUGGAUGCAGGGUCUUGUGUUCGCUAGAAAAGCACUCUCUCUGCCCUGCAGCUGAAUUCUUGGCCUUGUGUGUCUGACCAAAUACAAUUUACAUAGCUGUUUUCAAAAGAACAGGCCCCAGUCCUGGUCCUACUUCCUGCACCGAAUUCUUUCCUUCUUUAGGGGCCUUUUUAUAAGGUGGAAAUAGCCCUUAUACCUGCAUUAUGGCUUAUUGUGAAUAUUAAAUAAGACCAUGUGGGUCAAAAGUGCUUAGUAAAUGAUAAAAGCCGGCACGGGUGGGUGGUUCCUGUUGCCUUUCUUUUUAUCUGCCCGCCUUCUGGAGCAGAUUAUAGGGCUGGUAUGUGCUGUGGGUUUUGCCUCGAGACUUCCCUUGGAGAGCAGUGUUUAUCUAUUUUAAGGAGACCCUAGAGAUAGCAGGCUGCUGCAGAAAAGCAAAUGGAAUAUGGAUUUACCAGAAAGAGGAGGGCCGGCUGUAAGGGAACAGCUGUGGAGAGAGUUAUCAAUCCGGCUCGGCACCAGACGGGUGCCAAGAGGGAGUUGCUAAAUGCCUGGGAGAGAAUCGUGACCAGAGAGAGCAGCGAGUUAAAAAAGAAAAGAAAAAAAAAAAAAAGAGUCAUAUCCUGCCAAGCAAACUGGGUCAUAUUCCUGAUGGAGUUAGUCACCGAGCAGAACUGAGCUGGGAAGGAGGUUUCAGGGCAGAAAGAACGGCAUAGUGACUCAGCUGGCAGCUGGAGAGGCCUCCUGGCUCUUGAGCAAAGACCCCUCGUGUGGCUGGCAUGUAGCAUCUUGUGGUAUUUUGGAUUUGAACUUGAUUUUUUUUUUCUUUUUAACCCCUAAAGGAGAUUACCAAACAUGAUUUUUUUCCCCCACUUGGAAUAGUUGAGCGUUUGCACACAGGCUAGAGCGUGCUCGCGCACAAGCGUGGGCACACACACACACACACAGGCACCAUUUCAAAGACAUACAUCUUAAGAGAGGAGAUAAAUUAAAUCAAGAUGGAAGAGCAGGAAGGCCAUCCUGGAACUUUUCUCUGGAAUUCGAGUGGGAAGGGACAGCAGCCAAUCUUACUGCUUAGAAACCUUUAAGGUCACCGGCCCGUCCUGCGAAGACGGAUCCUGUAAAACGACUGGAGGGUUCCGAAAUCAAAGUUUAAUUUAUUCCCUCUGUUGUAAGUCCCCUUCCCUAGGAGCUGUCCUCACCGGAGCUUGACAGAGCCGAGCUUGAGUUCUGAGAGCAAGCAGCCUUCAGAUGAAGAUGUUGAACUCUCAGCUCCUCCUUCACCAUGCCUGCCUGGAUGAUGCCAUGUUCCUGCCUUGAUGAUACUGGACUGAACCUCUGAACCUGACUGAGUCACUGGAGCAUCUAUCUGCACGCUGCGGUUUCGACUUUCCCCCAAGUGCAUAGCGAGAGUCCUGACGUUGCUACGGAAGUCAAGGAAAAGCCUUCUGCCUCCUCAGGCCUUCUUGCCCCUCAAAUUUCCUGUAUUUCUUCCCAUCUUACCUGUCCACGAGAUUUAGCUUAAUUAAAAAAUAGAUGUUUACUUCA